UACGGAGGGUGCAAGCGUUAUCCGGAUUUACUGGGUUUAAAGGGUGCGUAGGUGGCCAUGAAAGUUUGAUGUGAAAUCUCCGGGCUUAACCCGGAAAAUGCAUUGAAUACUCUGUGGCUGGAGGUUUGGAGGGGGGACUGGAAUUCUCGGUGUAGCAGUGAAAUGCGUAGAUAUCGAGAGGAACACCAGUGGCGAAGGCGGGUCCCUGGACAACACCUGACACUGAGGCACGAAAGCUAGGGGAGCAAACAGG
rnacentral:rRNA from 1 species